UACGGAGGGGGCUAGCGUUGUUCGGAAUUACUGGGCGUAAAGCGCGCGUAGGCGGACCUGCAAGUCGGGGGUGAAAGCCCGAGGCUUAACCUCGGAACUGCCUUCGAUACUGCGGGUCUCGAGUCCGGGAGAGGUGAGUGGAAUUCCUAGUGUAGAGGUGAAAUUCGUAGAUAUUAGGAAGAACACCAGUGGCGAAGGCGGCGAGCUGGCCUUGAACUGACGCUGAGGCGCGACAGCGUGGGGAGCAAACAGG
rnacentral:rRNA from 1 species